rnacentral:rRNA from 1 species
GACGAACGCUGGCGGCGUGCCUAAUACAUGCAAGUCGAGCGGAAGGGCCCUGCUUUUGUGGGGUGCUCGAGUGGCGAACGGGUGAGUAACACGUGAGUAACCUGCCCUUGACUUUGGGGUAACUUCAGGAAACUGGGGCUAAUACCGGAUAGGAGCUCCUGAUGCAUGGGGGGGGUUGGAAAGGUUCGGCGGUUGGGGAUGGACUCGCGGCUUAUCAGCUUGUUGGGGGGGUAGUGGCUUACCAGGGCUUUGACGGGUAGCCGGCCUGGGAGGGUGACCGGCCACCUGGCGACUGCGGUACGGACCAGACUCCUACGUGACGCAGCAGUGGGGAGUCUUGCGCAAUGGGCCGACGCCUGAUGCAGCAACCCCGCGUGCGUGAUGACGUCCUUCGGGUUGUAAACCGCUUUCUCCUGUGACGAAGCCUGCGUGACGGUAAUGGGUAAGAAAGCACCGGCUAACUACGUG